UAGGGCAAAAAGUUGAGAUGUCCUAAAAUUAUUCUUGGGCAUCUCUCGUCAACACAUCUCCCCUAUUUGCCCUAAAUCAACAUACCAACCAUCGGGCGGUUCGGCACCAGCGUCGCCGGUCAAUCUUUGCCGAUCCAUCAUCCCCUGUCCAUCGACUCCGGUCAAUCGUCGCCGGUCCACACCUUCCAAUGGAAGCACCUCGGUUCUCCACUAGAAGUCAAACAGCAUAUGGACAAAGUCUUGGAUGAACAAGACUUGUCAUGUGACAAAGACCCAUUGAGUCUAAUUCAAGUUUUCCAGUGAGUCAACAAUCGACUACAAGUGAAACCACAAGUACAUGUAUAACACUCUAUUCAGUCAUUUUGUUGCUAAAGUAGCUGAGGUGUUAAAGAUAAGCUUGAGGGAAGAAGUUGAUGCUGAACAAGAAGGAAAGAAUAAAGAUGCAAUAGUGUUGAUGUAAGUAGCUUUGAGCAAGUUGUACAUUUAUUUAUUUAUUUAUUGGCUUUUUUUCUACUUUUUUCACUUAUCUUGAGUUGAUCAUAACUCAUAUCUAACUUGGGGGACAAAAUCGUAAACUUGAUCAUAACUCAUAUCUAACUUGGAGGCACGAUAAUAAGUCUUUAGCCACACAUGGCGCUCCCUUCUCUGAUGAAUCGUUGGCAGCUAUUGAAGGUGCUGGAGAGCAUCUUCAGAGUUGCAGCAGUCGAAAGAAGAUUGUCUCUAGUAAAAGUUCUGAUUGUGCCUUGAAGAUCUUGUUCCUAUAUAGCUCUUUGGAGGUACAUUAAGGCACUGGUAUCCUCCAUCAAUCAAACUGAAAUUGGCACUAAUAUCCGAAAGCAACUUAUUUGGGUAGGUUGGAACUUUAUGGAGCACACUCGAAAAACUUGCUCCUCAUUAUCUGGAAGAAAAUUCAAUUAAAUUUACAUUUAAUCUGCAUUGAUCUUUAUAUGUAUGGAUUUUGUUUUUUAAAAAUGACAUUUAAUAUUUCAUAUUAUAAAUGUGAAGUUUUAUUUGGUUA